GAUGAACGCUGGCGGCGUGCCUAAUACAUGCAAGUCGAGCGAACGGACGAGAAGCUUGCUUCUCUGAUGUUAGCGGCGGACGGGUGAGUAACACGUGGAUAACCUACCUAUAAGACUGGGAUAACUUCGGGAAACCGGAGCUAAUACCGGAUAAUAUUUUGAACCGCAUGGUUCAAAAGUGAAAGACGGUCUUGCUGUCACUUAUAGAUGGAUCCGCGCUGCAUUAGCUAGUUGGUAAGGUAACGGCUUACCAAGGCAACGAUGCAUAGCCGACCUGAGAGGGUGAUCGUCCACACUGGAACUGAGACACGGUCCAGACUCCUACGGGAGGCAGCAGUAGGGAAUCUUCCGCAAAGGGCGAAAGCCUGACGGAGCAACGCCGCGUGAGUGAUGAAGGUCUUCGGAUCGUAAAACUCUGUUAUUAGGGAAGAACAUAUGUGUAAGUAACUGUGCACAUCUUGACGGUACCUAAUCAGAAAGCCACGGCUAACUACGUG
rnacentral:rRNA from 1 species